CACGCCCGGCCAAAAGUGGUUUUAUUAUGUACAUGAGACCUCAAAGGUAGUAGCCUUCAGAGAACAGAUGACAAAUGUUUCCUUCAGACCUUUAAAGGUGUCAGACUCGGUUAAUUUAUCCUAGAUCUGGACAGGGGAGAAUCCUCAGAGAAAGCCUGGCUGCGUCAUUGCAGAUUUUCUCUACAGAUGCAAAUCUUCCCCACAAAAGACAGCUUUGCAAGGCUACUUCUGUUUGUAGGCCCUCUGAACAGCCAUCUUGAAAUGUGUCAAAUUAAUACAUUUUGGGGUAAAACACUGUAGUUCCCUUUAAAGUAUAGUUAUCCCUCAGUAUCCAUGAGAGACUGGUUCAAGGAUAGUCUUCCCACUUCAGGGUGCCAAAAUGCACAGAUGCUCAUGUGGAAUCCAUGGAUAUGGAGGGCCUACUGUAUAUCUUUUAGUAUGAUAUUAUCAAAAGUCGUAUUUUAUAAUAUUUGACAUCUAGAGUAGUUCUCUACAAAUGCUUAAGAAACUUAGUGGUUUCAUAAUGCCUUAGGUCGUGUCUUUUUGUUACUCUGAAGUGUGCACCAAAAACAUUAAUGUCAUCAGUACAUUCUGCAGCCCUUGUAAGGUCAAAGAUUUGUAAACUUUUCCCAUUUCCUGGAAAUCCUUUUUUAUAAUUUUUGAUAGCAGACAUCCUAUGCGUUUAAGGAUGGUUUUACUAAAAACUAAUUGAUUUCACUUUUUUAAAUAACCAAAACAUUCUAAUGAAGAAGAAUCAUUGUUGUAUCAGACAGUAUGUAUUCUAGACAGAAAUAAGCUUAUUGCUUUCUUUCAGCUUUGGACCUUAUAACAGAAAAAUCUAUAAUUUCUGUUAGAGUCUUGAAAUUUCGUUAGUGAC
rnacentral:lncRNA from 10 species